ACGAGAGUUCUCUUUGAAGCCUAAAAGUUCCUGUGGUGGUCUGUCUUGAAGGUACCAAUGUUGACCAAGGAAAGAGAAUUUUGAAGAUGGUCUUGCAGGAAAGUGGGAUAACAUUAAUUACGGCAGAAGAUUUGGAUGUUGUUGAAGAGAAAGCAGUUAAGGCAGCCAACAAAUAAGAACAUUAGGAUACGAGUACUUUGUUCUUAUUGUUUCUCAUCUUUCACAACAUUGAUGAGUUUUUCCUUUUAAUCGAGGCCAUAAUCCCUUGCAAAUUUGAUAUAUUUGCCGCAUUUGCUCUAGAUAGUUGAUACAACCUCUUUAUUUGAU